UUUGGGGUCAAUGACUCAUUUUUACCUUCUUUUUUCUCCUUUUUUGAACUGGAAUGUCUCUAAUUUUUAUCCAAUGCCUGUCCCACCAAUUGUCUAUUGAGAACAGAUCUCAAGACGGAGAGGAAUUGUGCCCAGGAGCUGUACCUGAUAGAUUCUAUUCAGGAGCCUCAGCAGCACCUGAUGUGGACAUUGAACUGAUGCUGUCGUGGGAUGAGGCUUUAGGAACCUUAAGAAGGAGAAGACAAAGCCAGAGACAUUCGCAGCAUGAGAAGGACUCGAUGCCACAUUACAGCAUAGAGGAUCUGAGGAAGGAGAAAGCCACCCUGAGAAAGAAUGCAGACAGUCUGUAGAAGCAGAGAAUGGCUCCUGAAUGACAAUCAGCAAGGAAACAGGGACCUCAGUCCUUCAACUGCAAGACACUGAAUUAUGCCAAUGCAGGAAUGACCUUGGAAAGGGACGCUGAGUCUGGGUGAGAAUGUAGCCAGCCAUCACCUUGAUUUCAGCCCUGAAACCCUUAGCAGAGAACCCAGGCACAUCAUCCCAGAUCCUGACCUACAGAGUCCACGAU
rnacentral:lncRNA from 1 species